rnacentral:rRNA from 1 species
AGAGUUUGAUCAUGGCUCAGAUUGAACGCUGGCGGCAGGCCUAACACAUGCAAGUCGAGCGGUAACAGAGAGUAGCUUGCUACUCUGCUGACGAGCGGCGGACGGGUGAGUAAUGCUUGGGAAUGUACCUUAUGGUGGGGGACAACAGUUGGAAACGACUGCUAAUACCGCAUAAUGUCUUCGGACCAAAGCGGGGGACCUUCGGGCCUCGCGCCAUAAGAUCAGCCCAAGUGGGAUUAGCUAGUUGGUGAGGUAAUGGCUCACCAAGGCGACGAUCCCUAGCUGGUUUGAGAGGAUGAUCAGCCACACUGGGACUGAGACACGGCCCAGACUCCUACGGGAGGCAGCAGUGGGGAAUAUUGCACAAUGGGCGCAAGCCUGAUGCAGCCAUGCCGCGUGUGUGAAGAAGGCCUUCGGGUUGUAAAGCACUUUCAGUAAGGAGGAAAGGUUGGAUGUUAAUAGCAUUCAGCUGUGACGUUACUUACAGAAGAAGCACCGGCUAACUCCGUGCCAGCCGCCGCGGUAAUAC